rnacentral:rRNA from 1 species
UACGAAGGGGGCGAGCGUUGUUCGGAUUUACUGGGCGUAAAGGGCGCGCAGGCGGCUCAUUUUGUCAGGCGUGAAAGCCCCGGGCUUAACCUGGGAACUGCGUUUGAUACGGAUGGGCUAGAGUUCGGGAGAGGAGAGUGGAAUUCCCAGUGUAGAGGUGAAAUUCGUAGAUAUUGGGAAGAACACCGGUGGCGAGGGCGGCUCUCUGGACCGAUACUGACGCUGAGGUGCGAAAGCGUGGGGAGCAAACAGG